rnacentral:rRNA from 1 species
GAACCGUCCGAACGUUAUUCGGAAUUACUGGGCUUAAAGGGUGCGUAGGCGGCGCGGAAAGUCGGGUGUGAAAUCCCUCGGCUCAACCGAGGAAUGGCGCUCGAAACUACCGUGCUCGAGGAAGGCAGAGGUGAGCGGAACUCAGGGUGGAGCGGUGAAAUGCGUUGAUAUCCUGAGGAACACCGGUGGCGAAAGCGGCUCACUGGGCCUUUUCUGACGCUGAUGCACGAAAGCUAGGGGAGCAAACGGGAUUAGAUACCCCGGUAGUCCUAGCCGUAAACGAUGAGCACUUGGUUGGAGAUCCCUCCAUAGGUUUCCGGCCGUAGCGAAAGUGGUAAGUGCUCCGCCUGGGGAGUAUGGCCGCAAGGCUGAA